GACGAACGCUGGCGGCGUGCUUAACACAUGCAAGUCGAACGGAAAGGCCCUGCUUUUGUGGGGUGCUCGAGUGGCGAACGGGUGAGUAACACGUGAGUAACCUGCCCUUGACUUUGUGAUAACUUCAGGAAACUGGGGCUAAUACCGGAUAGCAGCUCCUGCUGCAUGGUGGGGGUUGGAAAGUUUCGGCGGUUGGGGAUGGACUCGCGGCUUAUCAGCUUGUUGGUGGGGUAGUGGCUUACCAAGGCUUUGACGGGUAGCCGGCCUGAGAGGGUGACCGGCCAUAUUGGGACUGAGAUACGGCCCAGACUCCUACGGGAGGCAGCAGUGGGGAAUAUUGCACAAUGGGCGGAAGCCUGGUGGAGGAACGCCGCGUGCGGGAUGACGGCCUUCGGGUUGUAAACCGCUUUCGCCUGUGACGAAGCGUGAGUGACGGUAAUGGGUAAAGAAGCACCGGCUAACUACGUG
rnacentral:rRNA from 1 species